CUAUUUUGCUGAGACAAACGGAUCCGACCAACAUAUAUCGAGAAAUCGAGUGAAGGGCGCUUUGCCUUUUCAAGGAACUCCCCUUGAGGGUAGCGAGGGCCAUUUUUACAGCGAGAACUCGUUUGCCCCGUGUGUGUUCUGGUUCCCACGACUCUGGGUCGACAAGGAAGCACACCAGUUCCCGCGCUAUGGUUUCCGACAUGCGGAUGGGAAAACAGUUCAACAAAGCACUGCACAAAUUGCUGAUGCAGACAAACACAUCUGAAGUCCACAACGUGAUUCCUCACCAAAACUGACUCUCUGUGGACUUCCAGAGCUCACCACCCUGUUAGGGCAUGUACUGCAGGGAUUUUCCUAAGUUUCCUCAUCUUCACGUUGAGGUGGAGAUAUAUUGUUUAGUGCUUCCUGAAGCAGUGUGAAAAUGUACAGAGACGUCUGAGAUGCAGGGCGUGAAACGCUAAUUUCCGUGGCAUCCUUGUCUGCGAUUGGAGCUAGGAAAAGGAGCUACCCCGUGCAAAAUAUGUGAAACGAGUCUUGAACUGCCAGUGUGGUUCCAUUCUCGAGAUGUGUGUCUCCUGAUCGACUCGGCCCUCCGGAGCCCGAAGUGCCAUCCAAAUGAGGAAGUCGCACCGCUGAGCCGUCCGGAGAGUCGUAUUUGUCGAGCUUCUGUUGUGGAUAUCUGGUCUGCCGUGUCGGUGAACUGAUGCUUGAGCUGCAUGGAUUUCCGCAAUUUGUAGUCGCGGCCAUUCCCUCCUGUCUCUCGCAAAACGAAGGCGUGGUCUCGUGCAGUCAUUCGCGGACCACCGCAGAGACGGGAGGGCUCCAUCGUGCUGUGUAGCGGACCCCUUCGUGAAAUAAUCUUUUUUGUAUGUGUGUGUGUGAUUUGCAGCCUUAUUAGCGUUGCACUUUUCGUCCUCUUCUGCGCCACGUUUUUCAAGGCGGGUAAACAAAAAAGUAAGACAACUGGGCCCACUCUACGCCAUCACUAUUCAUGCUUCUCCUGAAUGCUAUCAGGAUGCACCAACAGUUGAAGGAAGAGGUGCUACAACGCGGACGUUGCUGCACCGUUUCCAGCAGUUCAGAGUCUAAAUUGGAUUCCAUGCCCUUUCAGCAGCAAAAAUCUUAUUUUGGUCUUACGUUGCCCAUUGACCUCAGUUGUGGCGUAAGUUGCGAACGACAGGAACACGUUGGUCUAGCAAAUCUACAUCCACACACGCACACACACACACACAAGCAUCCAGUGGUGGGGCGACCAGAACGGUUGCCAUUUUAAGUAAUCUCUGUGCUAGUUAGGGCAUCGCUUCUGUAGUUAUCGCACCACAGUUACUCAAGGUAGAGGCUCAGGUAGCUCGUGGCGUGCAUGGAUGGACGGCUGCAAACAACGAGUCUCUAUAUCUGGCAGACACCAGGCGUCAUUCAUGCGGAUGCGCGCUCGCAAUUAAUGGGUGUAGUGCACGUCUUGAUGAUUCCUGCUCGCAUCAGACCAGUUGUAAGCCGACUCUGCGUUUCUGAAGAUGUGAGCUUCUACUCGUGGUUGAGUCCCCUGACGACGACCACUCUCCCGGCGGCCUCCUUGUUAGUUUGUGUUUGAAUUCUUGAAAAGAGAAAGAAUUUUCAGGAUAAUGAUACGUAGUUGGGGACUUCAGUUUUGUGACGCGGAGGGCAAAAGCUGAGAUGUUGUCUUCGAAAACGGAACGACCGGAUGUGAAGGAGUUAUAUGAAUUACAUGAAGGAUAGUGGCGACUAGAUGCAUGAGACGCUAUGGCCCGGGCUGACCACAUCACUGGAAUUCUUAACGGUCGAAUGAAGGCGCCCAGUUGGGUGUCCAACUACCCGGGCACAUCGGGUGCAUGUGAGUGGCGUUUUGUCCGCGUAACUGGCUGACUUAUUUCCCAUGCCAUCUGGUGGUGCCAUUAGGGAAUUCCCUGACACCAGCAAAGGAAGGUGACGGCAGCCGGAGGUGAUUGACGAUUGCAAACAAGGAUCGAAAUUAGCAUUGACAGUCUUCUCAAGUUCGGUUGCUUAUCGAAGCAGCGGCAUUCGAAUUGGGCCUGUCCGAACAAGACCCCGCGCCACCGACCUGCGGUUCCGUUCCUGAGAGACAACGAAGUGAUUUCGGUGAAGGCCUCUGCGAUUAUUCGCGGAUCCCGCCUAUUGCAGACCCAGAUGAUAUCGAACUGUUGUUCGGCUGCAUUUUGCGACAAAAGAUUGAGGAAUGGAUGCGAACCGCGUAUGCAGACGUUCCUUCGGUUGAUUGUUCUUUUUCCGUCUCACUCAUCGAGCAUUCAUGACUUGGCUCAGCCUUCACUGUAAUGCUGCACGCCCCGUGCGAGUUCUGUCCUGCAGGAACAUGGAGGUGUAAGUGACUUCAAGCUGCUUAACUAGUGGGGAAGUUCUCAGAUUCCCGCCGCCACGGGUGAAGAGAGAUAUACCGCUGCUGCGAGCGAAAUGGUAGCAUUUCGUGACUGUACCUGGCAUUCUGUCGUACAGGAGUCACCCCAUGAGUUUGUUGUACAGCCUUGAGCUUGAACUGCAUUUGUCUCAUUCCCUUGUGUGUUUCCUCAGGCACCCGGAGCAGGGAAAAUAACAGCGCUCGUGAGUACCAUUUCUGCUGUAGACAUGCGACCCGUGUUCCCGCAGAUUCUCGAAACACAUAGUGAGACGCUUUACCGAGUUCAAGCGUCGCGCCUGCAACGAUUGAUAUCCCAUUGCAUGCCACUUCUCGUCAGCUGCUUAUCUCGCACAGACUGCUGACUCGACCCAAUACAGCCAGCGAGAUUCAUGCAGAUGCGGAGGUCCAGAGAACUAUAGACGUGCGACUACAUCCUCCCUGUAGUCGCUCGAUGUGCUUUGAAGAGUUACUAGUUAUCUUAAACUCGAAUUUCUAGAUGCAUGCUAGGCCGUCUGUCGUGCACCGUCAAGUGGCUGUGUUGUUGCGACUGUUUUUGUGAUCGGUUUCAUCCUGAGGGUGUGCUGAACAUCAUAGGCUCGGCUCGAAGGAAUCCGUACCCGGGGACUGAAUCGUGUUCGCGCAUGCCCUAUCAUAUGCAGAAAAAUGUGUGGAGGAAUAAUGUUGCGUAGCGUUUAAGCCAGAAUGACUCAGGCACUAAUGAUGAAUUCCUUUUCAAUUUUUGUAUCACAGUGUGACCAAGUCGACGAGGAUGACGUCCGACAGGCGGCUUCGACUGUGGAGUAUAUGCCGGUCGGCGGAUCUUUGUUGUCGCUGUCCGUUGAAUCAGGCAGGCGGGGGGCGCCCACUACACUACUUGUCGUGCUGCUUGGUUCCACUGUCACCGCUAUACUCAUAGUGGGAGUUGUCGCGCGUAUGUACUUUGGGGAGCUCUUUUAAGUUUCCGAAGAGCCUGCCGAUGCGUGAGAUUGCUGAAUCGAGAGCCUAACCUUUGACUUCGGAACGUCUUACAACUCGGAAGUUUUCAUCUUUGUGUGCAGGCUACCAAAGAAAAUCGGCCAGAGACAGUGAGAGUCGAUGCAUGCUGGUGGCACUCGAUCACAUACGCUCGCCUGAAAGUUGCAUAACUGAAAGAGUCCACAGGACCACAUGAGGUCCCACCACAGCCUGUGGCUCAGUCAUUCAUGAUACACGGUACCAUAUGGCGAAGAGUUUCGGGCAUUCGCGCCUGCUACGGCAAGAAAGCGUUGAGUCAUAGUAAAACGCACAACAGUAGUGCUAAUCGGAAUUUUGUAGAAAGGCACGGGGUCUCUGAUAGGCAUGUAGGCCAAAGAUUCUGCCACGGAAUGAGCCACCCAACAUCGCCAUCUUUUUCUCGAUGCCGUUGAGGUUAGCUGAUGUAGCACUCUCCCCUUGAAAGUACAUGAUAUGCUAACGCAACCCAAUAAGGUACUCAAUUGGCGUCGAUCCAACCGGUGCCAGUAUUCCAGAUAUAAGUCGGUCAAAUGCCUCAUGUAAAUGCUUCACACGUACCAGUUGCUUGGGUUGGUCUGCGGGCAUUUGCAGAUAUUUUCUGUGGUCAGCGUGCCCGAACCCUGUGCGCAAAGAGCAACACUUGUGCUCCCACCUUGUCGCGUAUACCCCCUGCUUCACCGCAUAGUAGAGGAGUUUUACUGUUGCUCUGAAUGUGCGGCAUAGGCACUGUCGAGGGAGCAUCUGCGUGCCCUUCGUAUUUGGAGCCUGAUGUGUGGAAGAGCGGAAACGCCUUAAGCACUUUCAUGACCAUAUUCGAUGCCGAUGUGACGUGAUGCGCUCUGCCUGUCCUUUAGAUCUGGAAAACGAAAGUGCUUUCUCAGUGGCUUCGCGUCCACGAGCGGUGCUGACUCCUGCGCGAUGGGCAGUGUCCUGUUCCCAUUAGCUUUGGUCUACUCCUGCCCAUAAUAGCAACAGUUGCGCGCCGCCUCAGCAUUUGCUAUCGAUCGAGACGAUACCGAGCGCUGAUGUUGGAAGCAGGAGACUGACAUGCGAGCGGCACGUGCGCUAGGUUUAGAACGUCGUGAGACAGUUCGGUUCGUAUCCGAUAUAAACGUGGCUACUGGCCUAGCAAUGGUUGCCAUCGCUAUAACGGUUUACCUGAUUACCGUAAGCGCCGAAUGUGGACAGAAUGGGCCUCUUUGACUCCUAUUGCCUGAAAGUCUAUUUCCAAAAAGACGGCUCCUGUCAUCAAAAUCCCCGUCUGCCAGAUAUGGAACACAGUGGCGGUCGCCAGAGUGAUAGUCUGUUGCUGCUGCAGUUUCACUGGUCAAAAAAGCUUUCAACGUGAGAGCAAUGCGUACAGGGAGAAGAUUCGCUGAGAGGGUCAUGGCAUUUGAGUGACACGUCAUCAUGCCAUACCAGCUACUUUUUCGACCACUUCGCGCCAUGGAUCUGCAACUACCGUUCCUCUUGUGCUUCUAUGAACUCUACCAGAGCCUUGUGCACAGACCAUCAUCGACUGUAUCUGACUGUCUCCACGACUCCAUCCCAACCCUUGUAACGGUGUGACAGCACUUCGCAUUUUUGCAAAGUCUUACCUUUCAUUAUCUUCUAAAAUACCACUUGGAUGUCUAGGUGUAUCAACAGAGAAAGACAUGUGUGGCGAUAGAGCAACAAGAAACUGUAAUUCCGGUGGUACAGUCCCUUCGAGUGAGUCUUGUUGUCUUCGCGGGUAGCCGCCUGUUGAGGGCGACAGAAGAGGGAGAUGCAGACAGUAUGCACCCGUCGCUCGCCAGCGUGCUGAAGGUGAAGUCCAUCUCCCCAAUCUGAUGCAAGACAUCUACUCGCGGUAACUCCAUGCACUACAGAGUGCCGAAGAGAUUCCAGCUCAGCGAGAACGCCAGGGUGAUAUGAAGCGUUCUCCUGCGAACGUCCGACAACGCCCACAGUGGGCUGCAUUUUUGGCAAAAGCACAUGCACAUUAGGCCAACAUGGGCAUUCGGAUUAGCCCUCGUUUUGCCAGACAGCGUUGGUUAGCAUAGACCCUACAAAGCAAGAACCUGGAUAGAGCUUCAGAGAGAGAUGAGUGGCAAUAACGUGGGGCCAGAUAUUUCCUGCGGAGUGGGUGAAGACUAGGACUCAUGUGAGUCUUUGUAUGUAAAUAAUUCACAGCCUCAGUGGGGGACAGAAUUUGACUGCGGCGGUGGACAGCAACAGACCAUGAGAACCAAUUGUACUGUAUCCUGUGUCCUGCGUGGAGGCACAUCCACGUUUGGGCGAGGCACGAACGAGUGCUCUCUAGGGGGGAUAUACGUUCGCGUGGUAGCGGGAGAGGGGGAGCUUCGCGGUUCAUUUUGUAGAUUAUGGACGGCUUCGUUGCGCGACGCGAUUCAAUUGUGGUUGGCGACAGCCGCAGGAAGUGAGGACCAUGUGUGUUUUGUUUCAGUACGUCGCGUGCGGGGGGGAAGCCAUGUGUUAGGAGCAGACUCGGGACGCGACUGUGACAGUGCGUCGGUGAGCGAGGAGUGGAACGUGUAAUGGGGGGAAGGAUAUCACUGGUGGUAGUGCGUGAGGGCGGGGAAUGGUGUGAUGGUUCGUGUGUGAAUGAUGGUCAGCCUCAUUGAUGAACGGAACCGGAUUGCGGUGGUGGACAGCAACAGAUGGUGAGAACCAUUUGUUUUGGUUCAUGUAUCCUGUGUGGAGGCACAUACGCGUUUGGGCGAGGCACAAACGAGUGUUGUCUAGGGGGGAUAUACGUUCGCGUGGUAGCAGGAGAGGGGGAGCUUCGCGGUUCAUUUUGUAGAUUAUGGACGGCUUCGUUGCGCGACGCGAUUCAAUUGUGGUUGGCGACAGCCGCAGGAAGUGAGGACCAUGUGUGUUUUGUUUCAGUACGUCGCGUGCGGGGGGGAAGCCAUGUGUUUGGAGCAGACUCGGGACGCGACUGUGACAGUGCGUCGGUGAGCGAGGAGUGGAACGUGUAAUGGGGGGAAGGAUAUUACUGGUGGUAGUGCGUGAGGGCGGGGAAUGGUGUGAUGGUUCGUGUGUGAAUGAUGGUCAGCCUCAGUGAUGAACGGAACUGGAUUGCGGUGGUGGACAGCAACAGAUGGUGAGAACCGUUUGUUUUGGUUCAUGUGUCCUGUGUGGAGGCACAUACGCGUUUGGGCGAGGCACAAACGAGUGCUCUCUAGGGGGAUAUACUGUCGCGUGAUAGCGGGAGAGGGGAAAGGCUUGCGGUGCAUUUUGUAAAUCAUCCACAGCUUCACUGCGUGACACGAUUCAAUCGUGGUUGUCGACAGCCGCAGGAGGUGAGGACCAUGUGUGCUUUGUUUCUGUAUUUCGCGUGCGGGCGGGAAGCCAUAGGUUGGAGCAGAGCCAGGACGCGGUUGUGACAGAGCAUCGGUGAGCGAGGAGUCGAAGCGUAGCGCGGAUGACGAUAUUGCUGGUCGUAGUGCGUGAGGGCGGGGAAUGGUGUGGUGGUUCGUGUGUGAAUGAUUGACGGCCUCAGUGUGAGACAGUAGUUAGCUGCGGUGAUGGACAGCAACAGACGGUGAGAACCAUUCAUUUCUUCCAUGUGCCCUGCGUGGAGGAAGCGAUGUACUGGAACGAUAUAUGUAAGAGUAGGUCGGCCAAUCGUCGACGGGAUCGGAUUGGGAGGAUACGAUGGUACGACGUGUGCGGUAUGCGUUCGGGAAGGAGUACUCUAGACGUCUUUGAUAUGGAAGCCGCCAUAUGCAUCACGGCUUGUUGAGAGGGACACAGUAUUUGCCGUGUGUACGGCACAUUGACAGUCUGGUACAUCUUGUACAUAUACCACCUAACCUAGAGGAGUGUCUCAUAUAUCGAACGAACCGCCGUUUCUCCCAUAUCCUGGCGUUUCAGAGGCGCGCGUACCUGGCAGGUGCUGCGACGCUGCUUGAGACGGCGGGGAGUCGAGCGUUUGAAAGAAAAAACGUGGUUGUUCGCUGACGUCGCGCCUUCUCGCAAAAAAGGCACAUCCACGCUCUCUCGACUGACUGUUCCCGCAGGGAGAACAAACAAGGCAAUCACUAUUUUCAUGUUUUCUGAGUGUCUGGAGAUUUGAAUCUUCACAUAUCGGGGUAAACCUAGUCCAUCCGACGCCGAUAGACUGAUCCUCUGAGUUGGAUAAUGGCGAGUUCCUUUCACGGGGUAUGGUUUGUUGGUGCCAGAAUGGCCGGCGCUCAUUGUCAAGCCAGAAACGUGGAUCGUGUAGGGGGAACGGUAGAGUAUGUUCAUUAUACACACUAGAAAGGCCAGGAUGGCGCACUGUGGGGCAUCGAUUCUCAGCAUGUACGUAGCGGGACAACGGUACUAGGAAAGUAGUUGUUCCGAUGGAAGAUUGAUGCGUUCGUAAUUUGAGGUGCAUAACUGUCCUGGCAAACCGUCAAGGAAUGUAACCAUCACGAGAGGUGUCGUCCUCGCGGGCCACCGCUUCGGUGCGUAUUUUAUGUGUACAUGACUCCCUGUGGCUCGCAGUAGGGGUCCGAAGAACGUCUCAUUCCGACAAGAGUGUGAGAGUCAGAGAGUAGAGCGGAACUGUAUCUAUCCGAAGGGUGUUUUGUCGUGCACGAGUAGCACUACUAAGCGUGUGGAGGGGGACUCCGGAAGCCAGACGUACCUAAGCUAGGUCUUAACCUGAGCAGACACGGCGGUCUCCUGUGAUAUGCUACCAAGAAAUGUCACAUGGAAAGUGUAGACCGGCGGUGGCGCCAGGGGACGCUUUAAUUUGAAUUGCAAGUUUUAUGCUGGUUGCCCAAACACGAACUCUAG
rnacentral:lncRNA from 1 species